UACGUAGGCAGCAAGCGUUGUUCGGAAUUACUGGGCGUAAAGCGUGUGUAGGCGGUUUUGCAAGUCGGAUGUGAAAGCCCCGGGCUCAACCCGGGAAGUGCACUCGAUACUGCAGAACUCGAGUAUGGGAGAGGUUGGUGGAAUUCUCGGUGUAGAGGUGAAAUUCGUAGAUAUCGAGAGGAACACCGGCGGCGAAGGCGGCCAACUGGACCAUUACUGACGCUGAGACACGAAAGCGUGGGGAGCAAACAGG
rnacentral:rRNA from 1 species